GGGACAGCACACUGAUAACUGCCCCAAUGUUUCUUUUAGAAAACCUGUUACUUUCGUGCAACUAACCCGAUAUUAGGACCAUGGUCGAUUCUUUCUUUUGAACACAAUUCACAAUCAAAUAUCACGACUCACGCUCACAUCGCAUGAGUCAUGACGCAGGAAAAGGUGAAAAGAAGAAAAAAUAAAAAUAAAGUAAUAGAAAAAGACUGGUUUAAAGUGAAGUGGGUGUUGUUUCACUGUUUGAUAAUAUAUAUUUCUUGCACAGGGCUUUCAACUAAUGUAAUGAUGAAGAACACAAUUUUUGAAUAAAGCUACAGCCAAAUUAAUAUUAACUAAAGCGCAGAAGAAGCAUGUAGAAAAGAAAAUAAAAUUCAAAAAAAGAAGAAAAUAUAACUAAUUAGAUAAGGAAGAAACAAAAGAAAAGAAAGGAAGCAAGAUGGAAGUAGUUAUUAUUAUGAGCAGCUGGGUUAGGUGAUGAAGAGGAUCUGUGAUGACCAUUGCGAGUAACUGCAAAGCCGCCGCCACGUGUGCCGCCACGUGUGCCGCCGCGAGCACCCGCACCCCGGGCUCCCUUUUUGAUCUGACUAGGCAACGACACGGGUUGAGCUGAAACGGUGAUGAGGUAGAUGAUGAUGAAGAUGACGAGUGAAAAGGCAAGCUUGUAACACCUCAAUCUCAUGCUGUUGCUGUUUCUUCUCCCGAUAUAUUGUUCGAUGUCUGUUUGUUCAGACUCCAGAACAAAACCUCUGGUUGCGGCUGGCUAGUGUCUUUUGUUGUGAUGACGUGAAUAUGUUAAUUGUUAACACAAACCUUUCAAGCUUUGUGUCAACUUGUUUGAAAAAACCUUGUGAAGGCAAAAGAUAUCUCUGACACUAACUCAUGGUGGUUGGCUUCCAUUAUGAAUGAUUACGUUUAAACUUUAAAGUGAUCUACUUUCUGAAUACGUUUAAAGUGAUCUACUUUUCUUUCUUUUUUUUUUUUUUUUCCCUUAAAAAUAAAUAUAUUAUAUUUCCAUUUUCUUCACGGAGCCCUUCAUUCCUUUCAAGAUUUUUAACGUC
rnacentral:lncRNA from 1 species